UCUCGAUAGGAGAUUUGGCCUGGAAUGGUAUUUCUCCCAAACACGUGCCAUAGGAUGGGCCGGCGGCUGAUUAGGCUGUUGGUGGGGUAACGGCCCACCAAACCAAAGAUCAGUACGGGCCUUGAGAGGGGUAGCCCGGAGAGGGACACUGAGAUACGGGUCCCAGCCCCACGGGGUGCAGCAGGCGCGAAACCUUUACAAUGCACGAAAGUGUGAUAGGGGGAUACUCAGUGCUUACGAUUAUGUCGUAGGCUUUUGUCGAUCGUAAAUAGAUCGGCGAAUAAGUGGUGGGUAAGACCGGUGCCAGCCGCCGCGGUAACCCCGGCGCCACAAGUGGUCAUCACGAUUAUUGGGCCUAAAGCGUUCGUAGCCGGUUUGGUAAAUCUCUUGUGAAAUUGUUCGGCUUAACCGGACAGCGCGCAGGGGACACUGCCAGACUCGAGACCGGGAGGCGCAAGAAGUAUGGCAUGGGGACUGGUAAAAUGGGAUAAUCCAUGCUAGACUACCGAUGGCGAAGGCAUCUUGCGAGAACGGAUCUGACGGUGAGGAACGAAAGCCAGGGGAGCGAACCGGAUUAGAUACCCGAGUAGUCCUGGCCGUAAACGCUGUGAGCUAGGUGUCGCGUAUCUCAUGAAGAUGCGCGGUGUCGAAAAGAAGUUGCUAAGCUCACCGCC
rnacentral:rRNA from 1 species